rnacentral:misc_RNA from 1 species
AAGUCGUAACAAGGUUUCCGUAGGUGAACCUGCGGAAGGAUCAUUAACGAGUAACAGAAAAAUGGGUGGGGUUGUAGCUGGUCUUUUUGUUUAUUUUUACAAAGAGACAUGUGCACGUCUCGCUUGUUUUUUCAUCUCUCACACCUCUGUGCACUUUCUCAUAGGUUGGACUUGAGGACUUCGUCGCAAGAUGUGUCCUGGUUCUGCCUGUGUGUUUUGAACUACAAACCUCUCGUCAGUUUUUGAAUGUAUUUGUUUGUGCAACACAAUUGCAUAUCUUAAAAACAACUUUCAGCAACGGAUCUCUUGGCUCUC